rnacentral:rRNA from 1 species
GACGAACGCUGUCGGCGUGCUUAACACAUGCAAGUCGAACGGAAAGGCCCUGCUUUUGUGGGGUGCUCGAGUGGCGAACGGGUGAGUAACACGUGAGUAACCUGCCCUUGACUUUGGGAUAACUUCAGGAAACUGGGGCUAAUACCGGAUAGGAGCUCCUGCUGCAUGGUGGGGGUUGGAAAGUUUCGGCGGUUGGGGAUGGACUCGCGGCUUAUCAGCUUGUUGGUGGGGUAGUGGCUUACCAAGGCUUUGACGGGUAGCCGGCCUGAGAGGGUGACCGGCCACAUUGGGACUGAGAUACGGCCCAGACUCCUACGGGAGGCAGCAGUGGGGAAUAUUGCACAAUGGGCGGAAGCCUGAUGCAGCAACGCCGCGUGCGGGAUGACGGCCUUCGGGUUGUAAACCGCUUUCGCCUGUGACGAAGCGUGAGUGACGGUAAUGGGUAAAGAAGCACCGGCUAACUACGUGCCAGCAGCCGCGGUGAUACGUAGGGUGCGAGCGUUGUCCGGAUUUAUUGGGCGUAAAGGGCUCGUAGGUGGUUGAUCGCGUCGGAAGUGUAAUCUUGGGGCUUAACCCUGAGCGUGCUUUCGAUACGGGUUGACUUGAGGAAGGUAGGGGAGAAUGGAAUUCCUGGUGGAGCGGUGGAAUGCGCAGAUAUCAGGAGGAACACCAGUGGCGAAGGCGGUUCUCUGGGCCUUUCCUGACGCUGAGGAGCGAAAGCGUGGGGAGCGAACAGGCUUAGAUACCCUGGUAGUCCACGCUGUAAACGGUGGGUACUAGGUGUGGGGUCCAUUCCACGGGUUCCGUGCCGUAGCUAACGCUUUAAGUACCCCGCCUGGGGAGUACGGCCGCAAGGCUAAAACUCAAAGGAAUUGACGGGGCCCCGCACAAGCGGCGGAGCAUGCGGAUUAAUUCGAUGCAACGCGUAGAACCUUACCUGGGUUUGACAUGGAUCGGGAGUGCUCAGAGAUGGGUGUGCCUCUUUUGGGGUCGGUUCACAGGUGGUGCAUGGCUGUCGUCAGCUCGUGUCGUGAGAUGUUGGGUUAAGUCCCGCAACGAUCGCAACCCUUGUUCACUGUUGCCAGCACGUUAUGGUGGGGACUCAGUGGAGACCGCCGGGGUCAACUCGGAGGAAGGUGGGGAUGACGUCAAGUCAUCAUGCCCCUUAUGUCCAGGGCUUCACGCAUGCUACAAUGGCUGGUACAGAGAGUGGCGAGCCUGUGAGGGUGAGCGAAUCUCGGAAAGCCGGUCUCAGUUCGGAUUGGGGUCUGCAACUCGACCUCAUGAAGUCGGAGUCGCUAGUAAUCGCAGAUCAGCAACGCUGCGGUGAAUACGUUCCCGGGGCU